GAGGGUAUAGCUCAGUGGUGGAGCACAUGCUUAGCAUGCACGAGGCCCUAGGUUAAAUCCCCAGUACCUCCU
rnacentral:tRNA from 1 species